AACGUUUCUUCUUUCAAAGAUUAUUUUUACUUUAUUUCUUUUAAGUCUAGUGAUGGCUCUUAGUUUUCCCCUCAAUGAAACCACAGGAUUUUCCAAGUUACACCUUUAUUUUAUGUGCAGUCUUUCAUUGUCUUCUUCAAAGACAGCAAUAUAUGUAACCAAAUAAAAAUCCAUUAGUUAGUUUUUAGGACAAGUGACAUGACUGCUCCUCUGCACUGUCCAUUUAGUUGGAGCUGCAGAUAUACCACAAAACCUCAAAGGAACAUAAUCCAAGCUUUUAAUUUAUAAAAAAAGUAGUCUAUGUAAAUAUAGGUUUUGCAGAUUCUGAGAGGCCUCUGACAACUUUUCGCAAUCAUCUUGAUUAAGUUAUCAAACCCACUGGACUUUCUUAGGAGCACCAGUACAUUUCUUCUGGACCUCUUGAGUUCCCUUCUGAUUCCUGAAUCCUGUCAGGAUUGCUUGGUGUACCCAGUUAAAACCUGCUGUGAUUGCUACAUGGAAAAAUAGCCUGGAUUUUAUGACACCUGUGAAGCAUCAUACUACUUUCUGCAAUUAGUACAGCUGUUGAAUUAACUGAAGAAUCAAUAGAAUAACUCAUGUGGACUGCUCUGAAUUAAAAUUUUGUCUCUCACAGGGGUUCUUCUCUACCAGUGGUGCCUGAUUAUUUAGUAUUGAAGAAGUCACUGUGUUUCACAACAGUUUCCCUUGAUGACCAUUCAAAGUAUAUCCUGCUGCAGUAAUUCUAAACCAAAGGCAGAUCCACAGCUGACCAUCCCUCUCUGGAUAGUGGCAUUCAUGGCAGUCAUAGUGGCCGAAUUCACAUUUUGAAUUGUGUCCCUCCAACAGAUAUAUUGAAGUCCUAACCUCUGGUACCUGUGAAUGUGACCUUAUUUGGCAAUAGUGUCUUCACAGAUGUACUCAAGUUACACAAAGUUCAUACCUAUUUAGAUUGAGCCUUAGUCCAAGAUGACUGGUGGCCUUAUAAGAAGAGAAAAGAGAGGAACAGAUUGAGACACACAGGGAGAAUGCCACAUGAUGACAGAGGUAGAAAUGAGAGUGAUGCAUUUACCUGUCAAGGGGUGCCAAGCAUUGCCAGCAAAACUAGAAGCUAAGAGAGAGAGCCAUAGAAUAGACUUUCCCUUAGAGCCUUCAGAAAGCAUGCCCUGCCAACAACUCAAGUAUUGACUUCUGGCCUCCAGAACUGUGAGAGAAUAAAUAUUGUUUAAGCUACCCUGCUUGUAGUAGUUUUUUUCAGCAGCCUUAGGAAA
rnacentral:lncRNA from 1 species